rnacentral:tRNA from 1 species
GCCUGCAUAGUUCAAGGGAUAGAACAAUAGUUUCCUAAACUGUAGAUCCAGGUUCGAAUCCUGGUGUGGGUA